rnacentral:rRNA from 1 species
AACGUAGGAGGCAAGCGUUAUCCGGAGUUACUGGGCGUAAAGCGCGUGUAGGUGGAUCGGUAAGUUACUUAUAAAAGCUCCUGGCUAAACUAGGAGAGGUUGGGUGAUACUGCCAGUCUUGAAUAGAGGAGAGGUUGACGGAAUUCCGCGUGUAGUGGUGAAAUGCGUAGAGAUGCGGAAGAACACCAGUGGCGAAGGCGGUCAACUGGCCUCAUAUUGACACUCAGACGCGAAGGCAUGGGUAGCGAACGGG